rnacentral:lncRNA from 13 species
GAAAGAGUUAACCGGGAAGCACAUUGAUCCACUGAGCUGCCUGCUCCUGGCCUUCUGGAUCUUCCUGGUACCUGCUCAUCUCUAGGCCUGGCUCUCAACUCUGUCAAUUCUGUCCCACACUUAUGAGGAAAGCAUCACCCAAAAAUGAGAACACCUAGAGACAGGAAUUCAGGAGCCUUCCUUAACCGUCUGUCUGCAACAGCAGGUGCUAGGGAAAACAUUGCAGAGCAGAGAUCAAAGGAAUCUUAGUAAUUGUUCAAUCCAGUCUUCUCAUUUUAAAGAUGAAGGAACUGGUACUGAGAAAAAUACACAGCUUCUCCAAGGUUGCACUGCUGGUUGGUAGCAGAGAU